AGUUUAUGAGCUUGAUAAGCACCUGUUUUGAAAACAUGAGAUAGAAGUAAAUUAUUUCUAUAAAUUA
rnacentral:tRNA from 1 species